CCAGCCAGUCGGGUAACCGCUCGGUUGGGUUAAUCCCCAACCGGGAGGAAAGUCCGAACACCCGCCCUUAUCGGGCAGCAGGGUAGCGGGUAACGCCCGCACGCGGUAACGCGAGAGUUGCGAGCAGAGACGUUCCGAAGCGAAAGCUGAGGAACGCCCCGUGGACGCGAAAGCGUCUUUGCGGGGCGAGUCUCGAAAGUAAUUUCGAGAAUGAAACGGCUAAACACUUACCUGGGUGCAAGAACAAAGCUCGUCGGAAUUUCCCCGCGGAAAAUCCUGAGGAGUUAAAAGUAGUUCGCUAUUGCCCUGAGUUUAUCGAAGGGCUAGAGCCUGAGAGUAAUCGAAGGCCCAGAGAAAUGGUUACCAUCCCGCUUACAGCGGGAUACAGAAUUCGGCUUAUAGACUGACUGGAAAC
rnacentral:RNase_P_RNA from 2 species